AGCAGUGUUGCCUAGUGGAUUGAGCACUGGACUGGGACUCAGGAGACUUGGGUUCUAUUUCCAACUCUGCCU
rnacentral:tRNA from 1 species